rnacentral:rRNA from 1 species
GGCGUGGUUAAGACAUGCAAGUCGAACGGAUGUAGCAAUACAUCAGUGGCGGACGGGUGAGUAAUAUAUCGCUAAUGUGCCGCGGAGCCUGGGAUAGCUAUUCGAAAGGAUAGGUAAUACCAGAUGAUAUAACGAAAAGGCAUCUUUUUGCUCUCAAAGCAGCAAUGCACUCUGUGAGCAGGCGAUAACGUAUCAGCUUGUUGGUGAGGUAACGGCUCACCAAGGCGACGACGCGUAGCUGGUCUGAGAGGACGGCCAGCCACAUUGGGACUGAGACACUGCCCAGACUCCUACGGGGGGCUGCAGUAACGAAUCUUCCGCAAUGCACGAAAGUGUGACGGAGCGACGCCGCGUAGAGGACGAAGUUCUUCGGAAUGUAAACUUCUGUCAGGGA